UCCCCAAACACUUUGACUCAUCUCUAAAUUGCCUGGGCUUCAUGACCGUGAAUAUGUUUUUCAAAGAAGACCCACGGGUUUCAUCAGCAUCCCCACUGGAUCUCCACAGCCUGGCCCGGGCCCCUCAGCCUGAGUGCAGACAUCUCCUGUGGGUCCUGUGAGGUCGCUGUCAGCUCUCCACCCACUCCCGCCGCUUCCCACCCUCCCUCCUCUAGGCUGCGGACCUUCUAGGUUCUGGCUGGAGACCCGGUUUGAGGAUCUCCAACUUGGAGGAGUAUGUAAGGCACUCUCAUGACUAAAGCACAGCUGUUAAUAAAGUAAGAGCUAAAUAUUCACCUAUUACACAUCA